rnacentral:rRNA from 1 species
CCUAACACAUGCAAGUCGAACGGUAACAGGAAGCAGCUUGCUGCUUCGCUGACGAGUGGCGGACGGGUGAGUAAUGUCUGGGAAACUGCCUGAUGGAGGGGGAUAACUACUGGAAACGGUAGCUAAUACCGCAUAACGUCGCAAGACCAAAGGGGGGGACCUUCGGGCCUCUUGCCAUCGGAUGUGCCCAGAUGGGAUUAGCUUGUUGGUGGGGUAACGGCUCACCAAGGCGACGAUCCUAGCUGGUCUGAGAGGAUGACCAGCCACACUGGAACUGAGACACGGUCCAGACUCCUACGGGAGGCAGCAGUGGGGAAUAUUGCACAAUGGGCGCAAGCCUGAUGCAGCCAUGCCGCGUGUAUGAAGAAGGCCUUCGGGU